rnacentral:rRNA from 1 species
CGGAUGGGUGAGUAACACGUGGGUAACCUGCCCUAAAGUCUGGGAUACCACUUGGAAACAGGUGCUAAUACCGGAUAACAACAAUAGCUGCAUGGCUAUUGCUUAAAAGGCGGCGAAAGCUGUCGCUAAAGGAUGGACCCGCGGUGCAUUAGCUAGUUGGUAAGGUAAUGGCUUACCAAGGCGACGAUGCAUAGCCGAGUUGAGAGACUGAUCGGCCACAUUGGGACUGAGACACGGCCCAAACUCCUACGGGAGGCAGCAGUAGGGAAUCUUCCACAAUGGGCGAAAGCCUGAUGGAGCAACGCCGCGUGAGUGAAGAAGGUUUUCGGAUCGUAAAGCUCUGUUGUUGGUGAAGAAGGAUAGAGGUAGUAACUGGCCCCUAUUUGACGGUAAUCAACCAGAAAGUCACGGCUAACUACGUGCCAGCAGCCGCGGUAAUACGUGGGUGGCAAGCGUUGUCCGGAUUUAUUGGGCGUAAAGCGAGCGCAGGCGGAAAGAUAAGUCUGAUGUGGAAGCCCCCGGCUUAACCGAGGAAUUGCAUCGGA